rnacentral:lncRNA from 1 species
GCUUCUUCAUCUCAAGGCUGGUGCUGUUUCCUUGGUGGGGCUCCAGGUCAAGUGUGGUCUGCAUUAAGGUCCUCCCGGGUGGAUGCUUGUGAAUGACCUGGGUGUGCACAGAGCAGAGUGGGGCUCCAGAGCCUGUACAUGUUGCUGGGUGUGCAGUAAACACACAGAAAACAGUAUAUGCCCACCCUGCUCGUGAAGAGGGAGUUGCUGAGUCUACACUCUGUGCCAUCUACCAUGCAAUUCACCACAGUAAUUUCGAAUAGCUUCUUGGGUCUUGCAUCAUUUGUGAAAGUGAAGCAAACCUUCGUCUACUGUACAGAGUGUCCAGAAAUAGAGCUCAUCAGAGUAACCCAGUUGACAUAAUGAGACUGUAAGCACACCAAGGGGAGUUUCUGGACGACUAGAGGACAUCUGAGGAGCACGGCUAAGCCCCAAAGCUUCCUUAGGACUACUGUGAACCCCUAUACUUCUGCAGCUACAGUUCCAAAUUUCUGGGCUCUGUCCCAACAAAAUGUCUAGAAAAAUUUGCUCUAUUUUUGAUCCUCGUUUUUUUUUUUUUUUUUUUUUUCUCAUUUCAGAACAGUGAUGGCUUUUCCAGGUAAAGCAUCUUGUUACCUUAUAAGUUUCAUUAAAUAGAUGGCCUUUGAACUAGACCUUGCAGAAUGGGUAAAAUUUAUUUUGGAAAAGAAGUGAAAGAGGGCUAUCAGAGAGUGUUUUCAUGAAUGUAUAAGCCUGGAAUCUGGAUGUCUUUGAUAAGGAGCGAUAAAAGGGUACAUUUGGGUGUGGAUUAAUUCACUUACUCAGUAUAUAUAUAUAUAUAUAUAUAUAUAGAAACCACAAUUAGAUACUGGAAAUAUAGCAAAGGAUUAGACCUGGUCCAGCUCUCAUGAUGUUCAGAGACAGUGAUGGUUCCGGGGGCAGAGAGACGCAGUGGACAUCAAGAGGUGGGCUAAUUCAUUAUUUGAAGAAUCUUCAAUGACACACAAAGGAGUUUGAAUUUUAUCCCAUCACUACUCAUAACAGCACUUUUUUUGACACUAAUCACAUGCUGGGCAGUAUUCACUAUUUAUUAUUGUAACAACCUUAUGGUAUAGAGAGAUGUUUGUUAUCUCCAUUUUACUGACAGGGAGACUGAAGCAUGGAGUAGGUACCUAACUUGGCUAAGGACUCAGAGCUAAUAAGAGGUAGAGUCAGGAUUGAGUCCAGGUAUUUUGGCUUCAGAGUCUAUAGUCUUAUCAUUUGUAAAUAUAUAAUAUGUGGCUAAAGCGAAGCUUUUUUAUAUGAAAAAAGUAAAACAAGGUUAAUGAUGUUGGGAAAAAUCAUUGGAAGAUGCAGCAGUGUGUAUCAGAGCCUGGACUAGACUCCACAAGGCUUUAGGUCCAUUGCUGCUUCUGCUCCACAUAGAGUGUGCACUAGUGUGCAAAAACUUUGUGGAUGCACUUGGAUAAAUUAAGAGGAAUAUGUUUACACUACAAGAGGUGGUAAUGCUGCAGUCCUUUUUUUUUUUUUUUUUUUUUUUU